rnacentral:rRNA from 1 species
UAUGAGUUAAAGAGCAUUGUUAGUGGCAGACGGGUGAGUAAUGCAUAGGGACGUACCUUUGAGAUCGGAAUAACUAUUGGAAACGAUAGCUAAUACCGGAUAUAACCUUAAUUUAUUUUAAGGUGAAAGAUUUAUCGCUCAGAGAUCGACCUAUGUCCGAUUAGGUAGUUGGUGAGGUAAAGGCUCUACCAAGCUUAUAAUCGGUAGCUGGUUUGAGAAGAUGAUCAGCCACACUGGAACUGAGAUACGGUCCAGACUCCUACGGGAGGCAGCAGUGGGGAAUAUUGGACAAUGGGGGAAACCCUGAUCCAGCGACGUCGCGUGGGUGAAGAAGGUCUUAGGAUUGUAAAACCCUUUUAUUGGUGAUGAUAAUGACAGUAGCCAAUGAAUAAGCACCGGCUAACUUCGUGCCAGCAGCCGCGGUAAUACGAAGGGUGCUAGCGUUGUUCGGAAUAACUGGGCGUAAAGGGCGUGUAGGCGGUUAUGUAAGUUUGAUGUGAAAUGUACGGGCUCAACCUGUAAACUGCAUUGAAAACUAUAUUGACUAGAGUACUUAAGGGGGGGUUGGAAUUAUGUGUGUAGAGGUGAAAUUCGUAGAUAUACAUAAGAACACUCGAGGCGAAGGCAGAUCCCUGGUAAGAUACUGACGCUAAGGCGCGAAAGUGUGGGUAGCAAACAGGAUUAGAUACCCUGGUAGUCCACACUGUAAACGAUGGAUAUUAGAUGUUUGUACAUUAAAGUAUGAGUGUCGAAGCUAACGCGAUAAAUAUCCCGCCUGGGGAGUACGGUCGCAAGAUUAAAACUCAAAGGAAUUGACGGGGACCCGCACAAGCGGUGGAAUAUGUGGUUUAAUUCGAAGCUACGCGCAGAACCUUACCCGCUCUUGUAUAUGCUUUACAUCUUAUAGAGAUAUAAGAUACCAGUUCGGCUGGGAGUAUACAGGUGCUGCAUGGCUGUCGUCAGCUCGUGUCGUGAGAUGUUGGGUUAAGUCCCGCAACGAGCGCAACCCCUAUUGUUAGUUGCCAUCAGGUUAAGCUGGGCACUUUAGCAUGACUGCCUGUUUUAAGCAGGAGGAAGGUGGGGAUGACGUCAAGUCCUCAUGGCCCUUGUGGGCGGGGCUACACACGUAUUACAAUGGUUGUUACAAAGGGCUAGCGAAAGAGCGAUCUUUAGCAAAUCUCAUAAAAGCAAUCUCAGUUCGGAUUGUUCGCUGCAACUCGCGAGCAUGAAGUUGGAAUCGCUAGUAAUCGUUGAUCAGCAGGCAACGGUGAAUACGUUCUCGGGUCUUGUACACACUGCCCGUCAAACCAUGGGAGUUGAUUUUAUCUUAAGUUGGUGAGCUAACAAGUUUACUUGAGGCAGCUAAUCACGGUAGGAUUGAUGACUGGGAUUAAGUCGUAACAAGGUA